AAGAAAUAUAGUUUAUUCUAAGCCAAAUAUGAAUGAUCAUGGCUGGAAAACAUGGAUUUCUGUUACCCUGAAUGACAUGUUCCUUCUUGGGAGAUGUGAAGGAGGGCCCCAUCUGACCUACUGAAUUCCAUUUUCUUUCUGACUCUGUCUGGAUUCUCCUGCGUUAUUCUUCCCUACAGGCCUGACUGACACAUAUAUAAUACAGCUACAGAAUAAAGAUAAUUUGUUCCUUACAUUUGAUCAACAUGUUGGUGGGGCACUGGAUAGACGGGCUACAGCAAAGUCAGAAAGUGUUACGUCACUGUUUUUUAGAGUGGACAGAGGCUGAGCUCUCCCAAGUUGAGUUAUGAGAAUUCUGGAUCAGCUACAAGGAUUAAAGGGAUCAAACUUGGGUGCCAGGAAGCCUACAAGCUCCUUCCACUACAAGCUGAGCCAUAGAACUGUCUUAACUGGAAAAGCAGCCCGUAGGAGUUCACUGAGGAAUGAAGGCAGUUCCAACUACUCAUAGACACAGAAGAGAGUGUAAACAUACUUGGAUAAACUGACGUGUAUCUUCUGAUUGAGGGAAGAAAGGGAAAUCCCCAUGAGUAUCAUUCAUCUGUAAGUGGGAGGCACAAUAAUAAAAUGUCAAUUAUUGA